GUAAUACAAGAAAAUCUGCGUGUAGGAGUCAGAGGAAAUGAUGUUGAGUGCUUGAAUGCUGAUUUAAGGCAGUGGCAGGAUGGAAAGAGCAGGGCUGGGAUGUCCCUGGGCGACGCUAAGCUAACAUUCAGCAGAGUCGACAAGAUGACACACAAUAUGUUGAAAGGUAGGCAUUAAAGGCCUUUGAUGGUGUUAGAAGAGGGUAAUACAGCUUCCCAAGAGUGAUAAGAGCAGGAACAAAUGUGAACUGAAGAUCAAACGUCAGCCUGCUACACAGGGCAAGACUGUGGGGGAACAGCAGAGAGCCCUCCUCUGGGAAGGAGGUGGUCUGUGGGAUCAGCGCUCUGAACAAGGAACUUGACUGAUCUCCAAAAUAAACAGAUGGACA
rnacentral:lncRNA from 1 species